GAUUUUAUCCACACUGUCUCAGGUACUCAUGAUCAAAAUGACUUAUAUGGUAACCAGCAUGCAAGUAAAAGGUUGCAACCUGUCUUAAUUUUGUUUACCUGUCAGACACAACUUCUGAAUGUCAAUACUUAAGAUUUUUCAAUAUGAUGAACUUGAGAUUUUUCAAUAUGAUGAACUUAAAAUUGAAUUUCAUAUCAUUUUUCAGUAACCAGAAUACAACUUUAGUAAUUAGCAAGCUGCAAUAACCAAAAAUGGGAUUACUAGGAAGAAAUGAAUGGAUUUUACUCUUUAAAGUAAUAGGGACAAGUGUACUAAAGGAAUUUGGAAUAAAAAAAAAUACCAAAAAAAAAAUUGUCUUUGGCAGCUCCCCCCCUUUUUUAAGCCUUAUGCUUACUAUUGUUUGUGACACAAAAAUCCAUUUCACUUUGAAUUUUCUAUUUGAUUUACCUAUAUUGCAUGUUACAAUCUGUAUAAUUCAAGUAUUUAUUUUUGAAUGCUUGGUUUCAUUAAAAUAUGAGACUUUCCUCAAUUUAUUGCGAAAAUACAAAAAAAAGGGGGGGAGGCUAUCUAAAUGAUCAAUAAAAUCUAUAAAAUUAAUUUGCAACCGAAAUCCCUUCAAAAUAUUUUGAACCAAAGAAAAUGCAAAGCAUUUCUGAAAUUUAGGGUAAAUUAAAGCGACUUUUGGGCUGUAGUGUCUGUUUUAGUGUGAUUUGAUGAAAAGGCCAUAUUUUUUUAUCAUUUUAUGUGUUUUGCC
rnacentral:lncRNA from 1 species